rnacentral:snRNA from 1 species
UGUUCCUUGCUUUCCAAAUAUAC